rnacentral:rRNA from 1 species
UGCAGUCGUACGCUUCUUUUUCCACCGGAGCUUGCUCCACCGGAAAAAGAAGAGUGGCGAACGGGUGAGUAACACGUGGGUAACCUGCCCAUCAGAAGGGGAUAACACUUGGAAACAGGUGCUAAUACCGUAUAACAAUCGAAACCGCAUGGUUUUGAUUUGAAAGGCGCUUUCGGGUGUCGCUGAUGGAUGGACCCGCGGUGCAUUAGCUAGUUGGUGAGGUAACGGCUCACCAAGGCCACGAUGCAUAGCCGACCUGAGAGGGUGAUCGGCCACAUUGGGACUGAGACACGGCCCAAACUCCUACGGGAGGCAGCAGUAGGGAAUCUUCGGCAAUGGACGAAAGUCUGACCGAGCAACGCCGCGUGAGUGAAGAAGGUUUUCGGAUCGUAAAACUCUGUUGUUAGAGAAGAACAAGGAUGAGAGUAACUGUUCAUCCCUUGACGGUAUCUAACCAGAAAGCCACGGCUAACUACGUGCCAGCAGCCGCGGUAAUACGUAGGUGGCAAGCGUUGUCCGGAUUUAUUGGGCGUAAAGCGAGCGCAGGCGGUUUCUUAAGUCUGAUGUGAAAGCCCCCGGCUCAACCGGGGAGGGUCAUUGGAAACUGGGAGACUUGAGUGCAGAAGAGGAGAGUGGAAUUCCAUGUGUAGCGGUGAAAUGCGUAGAUAUAUGGAGGAACACCAGUGGCGAAGGCGGCUCUCUGGUCUGUAACUGACGCUGAGGCUCGAAAGCGUGGGGAGCAAACAGGAUUAGAUACCCUGGUAGUCCACGCCGUAAACGAUGAGUGCUAAGUGUUGGAGGGUUUCCGCCCUUCAGUGCUGCAGCUAACGCAUUAAGCACUCCGCCAGGGGAGUACGACCGCAGGGU